CCCAAGAAUUUCUGAUGCUUCAUUCUUCAAUCUAUCAUACAAAUCAGUUAACCUCAAGUCGCAACUACUUCAUGGAGGCCAAGGAUCACAUCUGGAAUCUGUCAUCAGGAAAAGGAUCAUGGAUUUUCUUAAUAUUUCUCAAAAUGAUUACUGUAUGGUAUUUACUGCAAAUAAAUCAUCAGCUUUCAAGCUACUAGCAGAAUCCUACCCUUUCCAACACAGCCGAAACCUUCUCACAGUUUAUGACUACGAGAGUGAAGCACUGCAGACCAUGGUGAAUACAUCAGAGAGAAGAGGAGCCAAAAUCAUGUCAGCUGAGUUCAAGUGGCCACGGCUAAGGGUUCACUCAACAAAACUCAGGAAAAUGAUUGGCAGGAAGAAUAAAAAGAAAAAACACCAGGGUCUAUUUGUCAUACCCCUCCAGUCGAGAAUGACUGGUGCCAGUUACUCUUAUCAGUGGAUGAGUAUCGCACAAGAAAAUGGCUGGCAUGUCUUGCUUGACGGCUGUGCAUUGGGACCAAAAGACAUGGGCAGCUUUGGGCUUUCACUCUUCCGUCCUGACUUCCUCAUUUGCUCCUUCUACAAGGUUAUUGGGGAAAACCCAACCGGAUUCGGAUGCCU
rnacentral:lncRNA from 1 species